rnacentral:lncRNA from 10 species
CCCAACACUUCUGUUCUCCUUUGCAUCAUGUUUAUGGUGUCUUAUAUUUAUGGAUAAUGCUACUUAUUAAAACUGUCUAAGUUUUGUCCGUUUACACAUUUCACAAUUAAAGGACUACUACAACAAUUUUCCUAAGUCCUCCUGCUUUAGUUUCUCCUUAUUCCAGUCCAUUCUGCAGUUAAGACUUAAAAAGUUUUAAAUACUGCUUUCAAAUAAUACUUGCAACAUAAUUCCCUCAACUCCAUUAGCUCCUCAGAGUACCAUUUCUUUAUCUUCUUUCCUUUUACUGCCAAAAAGACGUGAAAACCACUAGCUCAGCUGCUAUUUUUCUAUCUACUGAAAUUUUUCUUGUAAAGUU